rnacentral:rRNA from 1 species
GACGAACGCUGGCGGCGUGCCUAAUACAUGCAAGUAGAACGCAGUUGCGAACGGGUGAGUAACGCGUAGGUAACUGUCUCAUAGCGGGGGAUAACUAUUGGAAACGAUAGCUAAUACCGCAUACUGUGAGAUGGACCUCCGUUGUAUUAGCUAUUUGGUGAGGUAAAGGCUCACCAAGGCGACGAGACAUAGCCUACCUGAGCGGGUGAGCGGCCACACUGGGACUUGGAGACGGCCCAAACGCCGACGGGAAGCAAGAGUAGGGAAUCUUCGGCAAUGGACGGAAGUCUGACCGAGCAACGCCGCGUGGGGGAAGAAGGGUUUCGGAACGGAAAGCUCUGUUGUUAGAGAAGCGUUAACUACCCAGAAAGGGACGGCUAACUACGUGCCAGCAGCCGCGGUAAUAC